rnacentral:rRNA from 1 species
UACAGAGGUCUCGAGCGUUAGGCGGAAUCACUGGGCUUAAAGCGUGUGUAGGCGGAUGCCUAAGUACCUUGUGAAAUCCCACAGCUUAACUGUGGAACUGCUUGGUAUACUGGGUGUCUUGAGUCACUCAGGGGCGAGCGGAACAAAUGGUGGAGCGGUGAAAUGCGUAGAUAUCAUUUGGAACGCCAAUGGUGAAAACAGCUCGCUGGGGGUGCACUGACACUGAGACACGAAAGCCAGGGGAGCGAACGGG